rnacentral:lncRNA from 1 species
UAGUUGCGUUUUCAGACUUUGCUUGUACAGUGAGAAGUGGUUUGGAUGAGCAGCAAAGGUGCACAUAGCAGCAGUAUCACAGAUUCAAAUUGCACUGUCUUUCUCCCUCUGUUGGGUUUUGGGAUCGUCACUGGGUUUUAAGCAGCCCAUGUGAAAGCUUGUCCUAAAGAUGAGCUCUGAUGAUCAGAUUCCCACUGCUCUUACCAAACCUUUUGAGAACUAGGCUGUAGCCUAGUGGCAAGAGAGCGCAGUGACGUCUCCAGCAACCAGGGUUCGAGCCACGUCGGGGACGAAUUUCUGGUUUCUCACAAGGAAUGCUUCUCCUAUAUCAAUAAACCAUGGGUGCUAGUGCCCAUGAGUUUCAUCUUACCAAACCUUUUGAUGAUCGUCUGCUCCUCCUCAUCAAUCGUUGUACCAAUGCCGGCCGGAAGAC